rnacentral:rRNA from 1 species
UACGAAGGUGGCAAGCGUUACUCGGAAUUACUAGGCGUAAAGGGCAGGCAGGCGGUCUGUUUAGUCUGUUGUGAAAGCUCCUUGCUUAACGAGGAGAGGCCAACAGAUACUGGCAGGCUUGAGUAUAGGAGAGGGUACUGGAAUUCCCGGUGUAGCGGUGAAAUGCGUAGAGAUCGGGAAGAACACCCGUGGCGAAGGCGACAUGCUGGGUUGCACCUGACGCUGAGUUGCGAAAGUGUGGGGAGCAAACGGG